UGGUAGUGUAUUGGACUACCAUGGCAGUCACGGGUAACGGAGAAUUAGGGUUCGAUUCCGGAGAGGGAGCCUGAGAAACGGCUACCACAUCUACGGAAGGCAGCAGGCGCGUAAAUUACCCAAUCCCAAUUCGGGGAGGUAGUGACAAGAAAUAACAACUCGGGCGGCGCAAGCCGUUGCGAGAUUGCAAUGGGUACAAUUUAAAACACUUAACGAGUAACAAUUGGAGGGCAAGUCUGGUGCCAGCAGCCGCGGUAAUUCCAGCUCCAAUAGCGUAUAUUAAAGUUGUUGCAGUUAAAAAGCUCGUAGUCGAAGUUCUGGCUGGCCCUGUUUCCGGCUCCGGUCGACUCAGGGCCUAGUCAUCCGUCGGAGAACCCUUUCGUCCUUUACUGGUCGCUUGGGGGAACUGACCCUUUACUUUGAAAAAAUUAGAGUGUUUCAGGCAGGCUCUCGCCCGAAUACUCCAGCAUGGAAUAAUGGAAUAGGACUUUCUUCUAUUUUGUUGGUUAUUAGUGGAAAGUAAUGAUUAAUAGGGACAGUUGGGGGCAUUCGUACUUAAUUGUCAGAGGUGAAAUUCUUGGAUUUAUUAAAGACGAACUAUUGCGAAAGCAUUUGCCAAGGAUGUUUUCAUUGAUCAAGAACGAAAGUUAGGGGAUCAAAGACGAUCAGA
rnacentral:rRNA from 1 species